rnacentral:lncRNA from 1 species
AUGGACUGAAGCCUACCAGGCUUCUCCAUCCAUGGGAUUUUCUAGGCAAAAGUACUGGAGUGGAGUGCCAUUGCCUUCUCGAGAGGCAGAAUAAGAUUGGCUUAAAAUUACAGGGUGUUCUUACUGCCCUGAAACUUGUUCUCAUUUAAUCUCAGAACUAGUCCUGGCCUAAGAAUGGUAAAAAGAAAAAGCAGAAGUCUUUUCUGAAGGGUUCAAUGUGGUGCAGGAAAGUAGAAGCAGCUGCAAAAAAAAAAAAAAAAAAAAAAAAAUCAGUUGCUGGCAGUAUCCUGAUGGCACAGUGCCCUCUGGUGUUAGGAAAGGGGUACUUUCAUCACAUGCAUAUUGAGAACUAAGCAAAGAUGGGAGCUUCCAGCAGGUCUCAAUCCAUGCUGUUAUGCAACUUUUUUGUAUUUACCAUACACACAAAAAUGUUGACUAACAACCAAUAUUAUGCUUAGUACCCUACAUACUUUAUAGGAAAGUGAUUCCCAGCAGCUCUACUUUGAGAAGUGGAACAAAAUUAUUUAAGAGCUAUGCUACAGAAAAAUUUUACAAAUAAUGGAAGAUUGCACAUAAUUAACUUUUUAGAAAUAUAAAUUAGAGAAUAUUCAAGAUGAUCUAUGAUAAUUUCUUAUUCACUCAUGUAAGAACAUUAGAGGGGGAAAGAAAAGAAGUACAAAGGGUGUAUAACAAUGGAAGAAAGUUCUGCUUUGGUGUUGGUACAUCUUAGAAAAAACAUUCAGCUGGAACAUAACCAGUUCAUCCUAGAGAUCAUUUUCUAUUUGAAAAAUAUGGUUAAAAUUAUGAACAUUGUUGAAAAUGAUACCAAUCAUCAUGCAGAAUCAUGGAUACGAAAAUGAGCUGAAUGUGGCGUAGAUCAUGAACUCCUUAUUGCCAAAUUCAGACCGAAAUGGAAGAAAGUAGGGAAAACCACUACACCAUUCAGGUAUGACCUAAAUCAAAUCCCUUAUGAUUAUACAGUGGAAAUGACAAAUAGAUUCAAGGGAUUAGAUCUGAUAGACAGAGUAUCUGAAAAACUAUGGACGG